CAGGUUCAGCAGCUGGUAGGUGUUGUUACGCACCGCGCUCAGGUCAUCGGGGGCCGGCGUGCAGCCGCGGCGCUCCAGGAUGCGCAGCACCUGCGCCCAGUGGUUCUUGAAGACCAUCAGGCAGGUCUCGGGGUCGGCGGUGACGGGGCUCUGCAGGCUGGCGCUGCGGGCAGCACGCUGCCCAACCCCACGCGGGGUCAGUUUGCUCAGCCAGCUCAUCCUCUCCAU
rnacentral:lncRNA from 1 species